CUAAAUCCCUCUUUCGACCGCCUUUUCUUCCUCUCCAUUCCCGCUUUCAAGCACUCUUCAUCUUCCGAGCGUCCUUCUGCCUUGCGGUGACGUGAUGAUUCAGACCGUUCAUCCAGAAGCUCGUAUCUAGAAGCUGUGAAUCUUUCGAGCGCCCUUCUUUCGAACGCACAUUCUCAGUGAUUGGAGUUCAUCAUAUUUCAUGCUAAGAAGAGGAGUGCUGAUGGUCCACAUUCAAUCCUCCUUAGAGCCACGAAAGUUUUGGCAUCAUCUGGUGGCUAUGGAUGUGGGCAUCCAGAAGACUAUCACGAGACCUGUGCGCACAUCAAGCAGAGAACUCUAGAGGCCUUGAGAGAACCCAAG